rnacentral:sRNA from 1 species
ACACGAGGAAGGAGGUGGUCUGAUAGUGAUUUCUCAUCGGACAUGUGAGGUGACCAUCCGUUAGCAGUUGACCGUGUGGCAUUCGUGUCGCACCGAGGCGGGACUCCACCCGUCGGUCGGCGCAAGCGAAUACCAGGUGGUCACCCGGCCCCCGCAUCCCGACCCGGUCCGGUCGGCGCAGGCCCAUCGAGGGCGAUGCGGGGGCCGUUCCAU